UUGAAACACUGGUUCCCGUUUGAUCAUCGGAGUUAAGCAAGGUCGAGCCUGGUCAGUACCUAAAUGGAUGACAGUUUGAGAAUACGAAGUGCUGUA